CGCACUAUGACUUGUUAUUCAUUGAAUAGUCGGAAUUCUGACAGGCAUAACAUUCCUGAUAAACAUACGCGUAAUCGUAAAAAGCUAUAAAUUAGACCGAACAAGAUGAGUCGAACUAGAACAGCUGAUAAUUCAAACCGAGCCGUAUGGAGAAGCAAUAAGCUCGUGUGUGUAUAGUGAGUUAGCUAUUUGACUUCUAACCGUUGAUAGUAGUAUUACGUUAAGGUUGUACACAACUUACGUUGUCAGUGUUAUAUCUUUUACAAAGAUAUCAACUUUUAAACUAAAUUUCAUUCCAAUUUGUAUAUAAAGGAACAUUAUUCAACAUGUAUACGGUGAUGUCACUGGGACUUAUUUCACACGCUUUAAUAUUGCUCAUCAUAUCUGUGGUCCUGACAGAAGGUUCGUCCCUGUUACCGAGCUACGCCAAGAAAGAGUUAUGGCCAUAUUAUCAGAUAAAAUGUGAUUUGAAAUGUAUGUAUGGAUACAAGACGGAUAUGGAAGGUCAAUAUUUCUGCAAAUGUUACGACCCGUGUGAGAAUAUCUAUUGUCAUAGUAGUAGUAAAUGUGUUGUUGAUGUCCCUAAACGAACAGAUUGUGAUUGGUCGUCGUGUAAAGCAAAGGCCUUUUGUCAAGAAACGAAAACCAAGCCCAAAAAGAAAAACAGAAAAAAGUAUUUAUGGCAUUUAGACAAUACACCGCAGAGGGAUGAUGGGAGUGUUACGUCAUCUGAGAAGGGCCGCGGCGUUUGCCACAUGCCUCUUGAAGAAGAAGCUAAAAAAUGUAAAAAACUAAGGAAGCGAUGGUAUUUUGACCCGAUUUCCGGACAAUGCCGGAAAUUUCGUGGAUGCCGUACAGGUGGUAACAAUUUUGGGCGGAAAAAACGCUGCAAGAGGAAAUGCCUUAGUAAAACCAAAUUAGCAAAACGUAAGGGUCAGUCCAGAGGUCGGAAAUUAAGAAGAUUUAUAAAGUGAGCACAACGUCAUUGAUAGUGUGGUGUUACCAUAGAAACUAUAACGCUUCUGCUUGUGCGCGGAAAAAGAACUGUCUCCAUAUAAUAUAAGGCGUCUCUGCAAAUAGGGCUUUCGUGUCCAUGUUAAUGCAGACUCUAAAGGGCAUAAAACCGGGGUUCACUUACCAUGGCCACCGAGCUUUUAAAAACUCUCAACUUUUUCCCCGACAUUUGCGUUACUAGAUUCUGAGCAAAGACUGUUGAAAAUAAAACAUAAACCAUAUACCGUGACGAGGCAAAGACAAAUUCGACGAAGCGCCAUCUUGGCGUGAUGAUCUCAAUGACUUUCGUGUAAAGUAUUUUGUAUAUAGAGCAAUGCAAGAAGUGAUGACGUUAUUGUUAUGUGUGUAGAGGUGCUUUUAAAUGGUGUAAUGCGACCGGAAGUGAGUUGAGAUAUGACUCUUAGAUAUGAAGGUAGAUAUUCUAUCUAGCAUAAAACAAUGUGUACAUAGCUUUAUUUAUUGCAGACAAUAUGACGUAAGCGUGACGGUUUACAACAAAUCAUAUUAAAGAUACAUUAUGUAAGAUUUAGAUAAACAGUUGCUGGUUCUUUCUAUUUAACAGUUUAAAAACAGAUAAUGCAAAAUGAAUAUAUUGAAAAUUUCAUUCAAAUGACUUCAUUCUGAGCGAAGUUAUCUCUGUUUGUGCACUGAUUAUUUAUUAUCUUAACCGACUGGUAUAUUCGAGACUUAUUCUCGAGUCUCCAUUUUUAAAUUAAAUUAUUAAAUGGCCGAACCGUUCUAAUGUACUUAAAACCGGAGUCAUCCGAUGGCCUAGAGAGUUGAUUAUGGUCUUGCCAUGUUAAUAAAUGUCUAAUUAAUAAAUUAUAUAACAUUUAAGGCCCAAAGAAAGACCUGCAAUAGACAAAUUAAAUUUGACUCUUGAAUAAUAUAUCUUUAAAUAAAGAAUUUAUUGUGAUAGUGAAAAUUCUGUAACCAAUUUAAAAUCUCGUCGCCUGUUCACUUUCUGAAAUCCUUUAUGAAACGUUUGUUGUAAUUAUAUUUGAAAAAAACCAUAGAUUAUUCAUCUCUUCUAUUGUGUAAAUAGCUGGAACUUUAGGUCUACGUCACCACUUCUGUUGCACAUAUUAUAUAGAAUAUGAGCAUAAAAGUAUUUCACAUAAAAAUGUAUGUUGAAGAAAAUAAUGUUAUGGUAUCGUAAUGGCAUUGUGUAAAUAAACAUUGUAUAAAAUUGUCAUAUUUAAAAGGGCAUGAAUGUGUACCCAAUCUCAUCUUCUAAUAAUAUUGCAUAAUAUAAAUGAUAUAUCAAUAUAUCUUUUUUUAUAAAAUUAUGAAAUCUUUUCAGAGAUCCAUUAGCUUUUAUAAUAUUUGCUCUGGUGAAAUGACUUAAAAUCGAUUGUUCGUAAAAUCUGUUUAGUAGCAUGUACCAAAUUUGAACUCUGAUCGAGGUAUCAUUAUUUGAGUUUUAAAUUUACGAGCUAAUCGCUCUUAUUGCCUGACAAAACGAUUUAAUGUUCACUUUAGAUUUUAUCAUCCCACCGUCACCCCCGUCGUCCCAUGAGCAUCAACUCCUGUCUAAUAUUUUAAUACAAGACUAAUGAUAGUAUCUCAAGUAACUAUAAAUCAAAACAGAAUAACAGUAGGGUCGCCUGUCCAACUUCGUGGGUUUUCUCCGGGUCCUCCGGUUUCCUCCCACUGCUAAAGACCCCUGCGCGCAAGCGAAUUAUUGAAAUAAAAUUGAACCAUGUGUUAGUCCCGAAAUGACCUAGUUUGUGUCGAGUGGACGUUACCCCUCUCUCUCUCUCUCUCUCUCUCUCUCUCUCUCUCUCUCUCUCGUUAGUUAACCAACUAAAAUGUUACACCUUUUCAACUAUCCAAAUGUUUUUAUAAUAGUUAAUUAUAUCAUUCUAGAAAGCAUAUUGACCUUUCACUUUCAAGUUUUCAUUUCCGUUUUAGAACCAUUAGUCAAGGGAACAGGCACUAUCAUCCCUACUCAAUUUAGGAGUUCUAAGUGGUGUCUUUAGGCUGAUGCAAUUCAUGUUAUUAUAUAAAUAGUUUAAAAAUAUAAACCGGGUGUGGUCUCUGCACAUACUCUUGAAUUCUAUAAUCAUUACCCCUUAAAGCUGAACUCCGAUUACAAAACUACAGAAAUAAUUAAAUUAAAAAAAUUUAACACCCUAAAAAUCGCCAUACUUGUUUUCAAGCUGUAAAACAAUCAUGGCGAUUUUACGGCGUACAAAAACAGACGCAGACCACGCCCACAUCCAGUGCAUACCUUAUCAACCACACUGUCCACAUCCGGUUAGCAAUUUAAUUAUUCCUGUAGUUUUGUAAUCGGAGUUCAGCUUUAAAUGAGGUCGCAUUGAAAAUGGCAAUAUUAUGAGGUUUGUGUAAAUGGAACAGUGCAACACAAACUUCCUGUUUAUGCUAGCUUCCCACGGUAGUGCGAUGCGUUACAAUAGGAUUGUUCACGAUCUGGUACGUUCAGAUACGUUCGGAUACGUUUCAAUACGAUCAACGCGAUUGCUACGACUGACCGCAAUAUAUGAUAAGACCUGAUAGGAUCACCACGAUUAGUCCACGAUUAGUCCACGAUUAAAACCACGAUUUCAAUCGUAGCACGAAUCUUGAUAGUGGGAACCUGGCAUAAGAAAACAAAUAUUUGUCUUUCCAUUGGCCGCAUUCUUUGUCUUUAUUAAUGGUGAUCGCACAAGUCAGUUAUUAAAGCAGAAGGUUUCAGUCUCAAUCUGUUUGGACACAUAUUGUGUUAGGAAAUCGGGUACGUUUAGCGUAUCCAAGUGAGUUUUUGGCUAUGAAAAGAUUUGUUUCGAAGCAUAAUUUAUUACAAUCUGAUUAAAAUACAGAACUAUAUUUUGUUUCGUUUUUUUUAUACUUUCGAUGGCCUACACUACAUGAUGAUCGGACCGGUUGUAGCAAUAGGUCGCGUCAGAGGUAAUACGAGCGGCUUAUGACCCUAUGACGUCAGACAUUUGAUUAACCAAUCCGCAUUGAUGUCACUAGUGGAUUACCCACAGUUCCGUGCAAAACACGCCUAAAGCUCGCCGUAACAGACCGUUUCAUUGGUAAUCUCUCACAAAAUUCAGAACACGUCAAUGAUAACAACUCUUCCAGAUCCUAGAGUAGUAAAGACAAGUAAAACGAAAUUUUGAACUUUGAAAACGAAACGAAAUAGGAUCUGUGUUUUAUUCAGAUUGAAUUUAUUAUGAUUUAUGCAAUGUGUAUCCUUAACAACAGAUGGAUCCUAGCCAAUUGACUGAUUCGUCCAAUAGGUCUGUUUAACAUUGUUUGUUAGUUCAUCAUCUCGUAUAUAGUCAUAAUAAUCACUGGAAUAUUAUAGUGAGAUUCUUGUUUCAUUUUAUUUAUUUGCAUUUAUUUUUGUAUUGUUAUUGUGAGUAAGAAAUACAUGCUUUAAAACAA